GAUCUGGCUCAGAGUGAACGCUGGCGGUAGGCCUAACACAUGCAAGUCGAACGGCAGCACAGGGGAGCUUGCUCCUUGGGUGGCGAGUGGCGGACGGGUGAGGAAUACAUCGGAACCUACUCUGUCGUGGGGGAUAACGUAGGGAAACUUACGCUAAUACCGCAUACGACCUACGGGUGAAAGCAGGGGAUCUUCGGACCUUGCGCGAUUGAAUGAGCCGAUGUCGGAUUAGCUAGUUGGCGGGGUAAAGG
rnacentral:rRNA from 1 species